rnacentral:tRNA from 1 species
GGUAAAAUGGCUGAGGUUAGGCAUUGAACUGUAAAUUCAAAGACAGAGAUUAAAUGUCUCUUUUUACCA